ACGGGUGAGUAACACGUAGACAACCUGCCCUCAAGUUUGGGACAACUACCGGAAACGGUAGCUAAUACCGAAUAGUUGUUUUCUUCGCCUGAAGAGAACUGGAAAGACGGAGUAAUCUGUCACUUGGGGAUGGGCCUGCGGCGCAUUAGCUAGUUGGUGAGGUAACGGCUCACCAAGGCGACGAUGCGUAGCCGACCUGAGAGGGUGAUCGGCCACACUGGGACUGAGACACGGCCCAGACUCCUACGGGAGGCAGCAGUAGGGAAUCUUCCGCAAUGGGCGAAAGCCUGACGGAGCAAUGCCGCGUGAGUGAUGAAGGUUUUCGGAUCGUAAAGCUCUGUUGCCAGGGAAGAACGCUUGGGAGAGUAACUGCUCUCAAGGUGACGGUACCUGAGAAGAAAGCCCCGGCUAACUACGUGCCAGCAGCCGCGGUAAUACGUAGGGGGCAAGCGUUGUCCGGAAUUAUUGGGCGUAAAGCGCGCGCAGGCGGUCAUUUAAGUCUGGUGUUUAAUCCCGGGGCUCAACCCCGGAUCGCACUGGAAACUGGGUGACUUGAGUGCAGAAGAGGAGAGUGGAA
rnacentral:rRNA from 1 species